UACGUAGGGUGCGAGCGUUGCCCGGAUUUAUUGGGCGUAAAGGGCGCGUAGGUGGCUCGGCACGUCCGUUGUGAAAACUCGAGGCUCAACCUCGAGACGUCGGUGGAAACCGUAUGGCUAGAGUCCGGAAGAGGAGAGUGGAAUUCCUGGUGUAGCGGUGAAAUGCGCAGAUAUCAGGAAGAACACCCGUGGCGAAGGCGGCUCUCUGGGACGGUACUGACGCUGAGACGCGAAAGCGUGGGGAGCGAACAGG
rnacentral:rRNA from 1 species